UGUAAAUCAUUCCUGUUCUCUGACGUCCGAGGAGUCAGGUAACCUGAUUUGUUGGCAUCCCAGAUGGGACCUAUGAGAUUGACUCCAGACCUCCAUAAGUGGUCCUUUCCAAGGAAUCUCCCUGAGAGCUCUCUGGUCACUGAGGGACUUCUCUAAAGGCCGUCCUGGAGCCUGGGUCUCUCCACAGCCCAGAACCUAAAUUCUUCUGAGCUAAGUCUAAUAAGCCAGCGGGAAAAGACUGAAAAAAAAGUAAGACUUUCCAAAAAGAAGUCUUCAGAAAAGACAAGUCUCUCUUUUCUCACUCUGUUUGUUAUACUGGCCACCUUGGAAGUUACAGGGAUGAA